rnacentral:lncRNA from 1 species
GCUUCUUCUUCUCUGCCUCUCUCUCUCUGUUUCUCUCUCUCUCUCUGUUUCUCUCUCUCUGUUUCUCUCUCUCUCUCUGUUUCUCUCUCUCUCUCUGUUUCUCUCUCUCUCUCACUCUCUCUCAUUCUCUCUCUGUCCCACAUGAGAAGACAGUGGGAAGAUAGCCACCUAUGGAGUGGAGGAGUACCCUCACCAAAACUGAUCUCAGAUGAGACUGGAACCCUGAUCUCAAACUGCCAUCAUCCAGAGCUAUGAGAAAUGUUUGCUGUCGAAGUCACCUCGUCUAGGUCUAUCUUGGAAGUAGCGAAGAAUUUCUGCUCUGGGGCCUCUCUUUCAACUGAGGACACACAUCAAGACACAGCUGUUGCACCAGAAGCUGUAAUUCUGCAGGCCUGCCAACUGGCACAUUCCAUCAUAUAACAAGAAUUCUUGGGAUGUGGAAUCCAAAACACUGGCCAGAGACAUAGCUUAAUAUCACUACAGUGGUGUGGGAUGGAGUAAAUAUUAGUACUUGUUUUAUUUUUUCUGGUAAGUAGAAAAUUGGAAAUGGUACCCUCUUAUAGUUUCUUGCCAAAGAUGGAUGUUGGCUUUCCACAAAAGUGUAGAGCUACACAAGCCUUAGGAUUCUGUUAAAUUAAUUCUAAAUAUCUGAGAAGAAAAUUACUAAUAAUGUGUCAUGAAUUAGUGACUCCCAAGAAUUGAAGUCCACAAGAACCUCAGAAUGUGAUUCUAUUUGGGAAAAUGAUCUUUUCAGAUGCAAGUAAUUAAGAUCUUCAGAUGAAAUCAUAAUUCUGAACUUAGUAUGGGUUCUAACUACAAAGACUGAUGCCUUUAUAAGAAGAGGAAAAAACACAGAGACAUAGAGGUGAAGGUCACCUGAAGAUAAAGACAGAAAUUGAAGUUAUGCUCCCACGAGCCAAGGAAGGUUAGGGGCCCCCAGAGGUACAAGAAGAAAGGAAGUAUUCUCUCCUUCCUUUGGAAAGAGUGUGGCCCUGGCUAUAUUUUGAUUUUGGACUUCUAACCCCUAGAACUGUGAGAAAAUACAUUUCUGUUUGUUUUUAAAUCAGUUUGUUGUAUUAGGUUGGUGCAAAAGUAAUUGUAUUUUUUACCAUUACUUUUAAUGGCAACAAUCGUUAAUUACUUUCACACCAACCUAAUACAUUGUUAAGGCAGACCAAAGUAUUAGAGAGACCCCAAAAUCAGCAGCAGAAAAUGUCAGCGGUCUAAGAGAAUGAAGUGAGGAGUGAGAACAUACACACGGAAUAGGCACGAAUGGCAAAAAUCUUGAUGCUAAGUCGUGUUUUUGGAUGUUGCAUUACAAAUACAAUGAGCCCUUAUCAAUUAAAUGAUGGGCUUUCUGGUACUAUUGAAUGACAUCAGUUUCUUUUACUUGGGUAUAUUAACUUCCUUAACUCUACAUGAAAAAGUCUUUGCAUAUCUAGAAUAUUUCAUCAGGGAGUCAAAUUGUCUCCUGGAUAUAAACAUCAACAAACCAAAACAAGCUUACACAAGUGGAAAGCUUGACAUUGUUGAAGAAUGAGUGACAGAACCUCAAAUGUUUGAAUAAUGUUUCAUUCACAGCUGUUGUGGCUUCUAUCUAGUUGGCAAAACAUGUAAGUCUAGCCAUGAGCUACCUACCCCAGUCUGAGAAAAUUAUUUUAACAUCUAAUGGCCCUUGUCAUGUAACUCCUCAAGGUUAUACAUUUUUCCAUUGAUUUUACCAUGGAACCUAGAGUUAUCAAGAAGUUAAGAAGGGAAAUAGAUAUAAAUCCACUUAUCUUUAAUUAAAAUUUUUCCUAAAAAUUUUUGAUAUAGGCUUUUUGUAACAAACUGCCUUUAAGUAGGUUUUUCACAACAAAAGUCUACUCAUAUUCAUUAUAAUGUUUAUUAUGAGCUCUAUGUUAUUGCCUUAAUGACAGUUUCUUGAUAACGGAGAAUUUUCAAAUUAGGUAAUUUUCAGAAUUAGUUGUGUCACUUUUAUAUGGAAGCACACUUGUUUGUAAAUAGUUACCUUCACUCAAUUAAAAGGACCAUUUGAGUUCAUUUCAAACUAACUGAAAUGAUGAUAUAUUUAGCAGGAGUUUAUUGAUCAAAUGCAUGGACAUUACAGUUCUUACUUGACUUUAAUGGCAAAUUUCAACUUUUGCAGAAUGGGGUUACUUUGCUUUGGUAAACUUUUCUGAUCAGAGAACAUUGGUUUGAAUCUCAUGGUAUUUUUCAGCAGUUAGGCUAUGCCCACCUCUGGGAAAAUGUACCAGUUUUUUUCAUACAGCUCAUUAAAAAUAUAAAUUUAAAAAGCAUGUGUGUUUGGGUACUUUCCAGGGAUUGAGUAUAAAUGCAUAGUUUUCUAACAAUUGAAAUAAAUAAACAAGGGACAAUAGACACAGGAGUACUAACCAAGCCGCUCCUUAGUAGUGUGACAAUAUUUCUCUUUUC